CUUCUAAAAAAUUGUUUAUAUGAAUGAAUAAAUAAAUAAUUCUGUUUCUUUCUCUUUUUUAAAUAAUUCUGUUUCUGAAAAAUUAAAAAAAAGAAAGUAAGCCUUUCACUUGAACACCUGUGAAUGGCCCAUGUGACCCAGUCCAGAAUAAUUUAGCAAAGACGGUUGUCUUAGACAGAAUGGCAACUCUGCUUCUUAACAGCUGAGUAUCUGAAAGCAGUGCUGAAAGAAAGCAAUUCACAGCCGGUUUCCUUUCUUCGUUUACACCUCCUUGGCCCAACUGUCUUCCCUGGUGGUGUUGGUGUGAUGUUAGAAGCAGACUCAUCUCUCUGAAUGCCAGGCUCACCACUUCUUCUGACCCAAGAAGAGUGGACUCUGUGGAAACUAAAAUAAGCCACUGUUCGACUCUCAUCUGCUGCAGGAAAUUCCACUUUGAUGCUUCCAGCUUAUUUUCUAAGAUAAAAGAAAGAGAGAGAAGGAAGAAGAAAGCUGCCACCAGGGAACUCCUGCUGCUGAAGGUCAAUGACUUUUCAAGUGGACUUACCCUGAAGCUUCUGAGAAAGAUUUUUUGUUUUUUUUUACUAAAUUGGUAUAGUGCACCCUUAAAAUUACAUAUUCACAAACAGAAGUUAGAGAAAGAUAAAUUAAAAUACACUUAUGAAUUUUUUUCUUGCUACCUGAGUUAAAUUCAGGGCUCCUUUCCUUCAGAAUGCAAAAAAGACAAGGUAACUCCACUGGUGUAAGGUUACAGAUCACUAGAUGUGAGAACGUUUCCUCUGAAAGUCUCUGCAAGAAUGAAGAUGGAAGUUGCCAUAAGACAAAUGAUUAAAAGCAUCUCCUCAUUCAGAGAAGCAGCAUGUUUAUCUCUCCAGACAUAUGACUUGUUUCCGGGGAACACAUCAAGAGACCACCUAUUGGGCUUCAAGUCUAAACCUAAUAGUUGGUCAUCAGUUUGACUUAUCUACAUCUCUCUCAGGCUGUAGUAAGACGAACCCCCAAGUUCUACAGUGAGGGCUUCUGGCCAAUCUUAUUCAUAUUGAGGCCAUAUUACGAAUCACCUGCUCCUGCACUGCUGAUGUGAGCAUUGUUCUUUCUUUAAUUAAAUCCCUUGAGUGAAAGGAUCUUUCUACUCAAACAAAUUCUGGAAUGCUCUGCAGAGGUAAGCAGAUUAAAGAAAAGAAAAAUAGGGUCAACCAAUUAUUUGUUAAGGGAGUGGAAAGAAAGCACUAUCAUGUACCUCUUUUUAAAAGAACGUGAAUCAAGGGGGUAAAAAAAUUCCUCAUAGCCCUCUGCAUUGUCUUCUCCAUGAGGCAAAAAAGCCUUUUACAUUUUUUUUCAAAGCUUUUGAAGACAGAAUCAGUGAGCUUCAUUGCAGCACAGAGACAAGAGUUUCUCAGACUGUCAAAAAAAGAAAGAAGUCAGCAUUCGUUAGUAUUAAAUUGAGCGUUUUUUCUUAUCAAAGUCAGUAUGCAUUCUCUUGUCUUUAUAAUACUGCAUUUAUUAGCUUGUCUACUUUCCUGUUAUUAACUACAUGGAAGUGCUUGCAGACCUAAAAAUUACUUUGUUUUUAUAUAAUUUGUUCUCAAUUUCUUUUUUUUCCUCGUGGAAAAUGAUUGAGGGUGUUUUGCGUUGCUCUUUUUAUAAUAAUCAUUAAUGAAAUUUAACUU
rnacentral:lncRNA from 1 species